GGUCAUUGUUUGCUGUUAUCUGUUAGUUGUUGCCUGUCCAUGCUCCUGUCUCGUUUGUGUGACCAGACCAUUCCUGUGGACCAGCUCCUCUACCACUUGCAACCCAGCCUCCCACACCUCUGCCACCCUGCACAACCCUGACUACCUGAGCCAGCUAUAUGCAUAACCGUGACUCCCCCUGCACCACCUGCGCAGCCACCUGCCUGCGACUGAUUUCAUCAUCACCUCUGUUCAAUAAAUUCACCUUUCAAAUCCACUUUUAGGUCCACCUAUUCACCACUACAACUGGUAGAGAAAAGCUGUUUUGUCAUGUGUUGAGGAGGCCUCACUCACCAUGCAAAUGACGGCAAGCUGUACAGCUGUACUGUGUGACAUAUUACUAAAUAAGAUAUGUACAUUAAAUAGUGAACUGGACUUGUAUAAGCAGAUGUGCGCCAAAAAGAAAAGUUGUACAUUCCAUGAGUGCUAUGUGGGCAAUAAUAGCUACCCAAUGCAAAACAGAAUCAUUGAAUUACAGUAAAUUGUCAUAACAUGCAGUUGCUGUGCUGGCCAAUAACUUUGGAAGCUGAUUGUUGAUAUUAGAAAAAAUAACGCAAAGACACACAGCCCUGU